UUGAUCUCCAGCUUCACAAACUAGACUUUCCAACUAGCCUCAGAGCUCCUAGAUACAGCUUGCAUCAAACCACUAAGAUGGCCCCAACCCAAGCAACUAAGUCAGAAUCUUCAGGAGAAGCCUGGGAAAUCUGCCUUUUGAUGAAAAUCAGUAUUUCAGAACAUAGAAACGUUGUUGGUUUGAUUAUGUGAGAGAACAUGAGUGAAGAAGUAACACAGAAUAGAUGCUCUUGUGUAUUAAUUGGAAUUAAAGUUGAGGCUCCUCAGAAGGUUUGGAAAUAGGAUAUGGGGCCUGGGUGACUAUGAACCCAGAGGCAAUUUUUCUUCUCCAGGCCAAUCCUCUAGGAAGGAUGGACCACUUAGAAGAAAGAUGUGUACAUAGCACACAGAAGACUGAAAUACUCAUCCAACAAAUGGGCACUUUGGGGUUCAGAGUGUUUUGAAAUGAUUUCCAUCAGUUCUCCUGGAAUCAUGGAGGCUCAUCAGCCUCUUGAGAAUGGACAGAGAAAUCUUUCUUCCUUUGUUAUGCUUAGAUUGUUUGGUGCCCACUUGUGUGUGGAGUUUUCUGAGAUAGCUCAUCCAUACCCUUUUCUGUCCCCAGUAUUAUACAUCCUACCAGAGUGACAGGUUGGACAGUUUCAACACCUCUGGCCACAGAG